GAUAGUGCCUAUAUAAAGGAUAUGUCUCUAAAAUUUUUAAAAAAUUAAUUUUUAGUAAAAAAUCUCUCUCUCUUCUUUUUUCAUGCCUCCUCUCCUCCCUCUCUUCCUUUCCACACCCAAGAGUUUGGCGUCCCCUCUUCCACACGCCAAGAGGUAGUGCUUGGUGACUUAGAGAUUGAAGAUCAAGGAGAAGAAGAAGAAGACUGCUGAUCAAGAAGUUGAUCUUAC
rnacentral:lncRNA from 1 species